rnacentral:rRNA from 1 species
UACAGAGGUCCCAAGCGUUGUUCGGAUUCACUGGGCGUAAAGGGUGCGUAGGUGGUUAGGUAAGUCCGAUGUGAAAUCUCCAGGCUCAACCUGGAAAUGGCAUUGGAUACUAUUUAGCUUGAGGAGUGGAGGGGGGACUGGAAUUCUCGGUGUAGCAGUGAAAUGCGUAGAUAUCGAGAGGAACACCGGUGGCGAAGGCGAGUCCCUGGACACUUCCUGACACUGAGGCACGAAAGCUAGGGGAGCAAACAGG